rnacentral:lncRNA from 1 species
AUAUGAAUACAUAUCGACGAGAAACUAAAAUUCGAAAGCAAAGUCGAGAGGCAGUCUCCACUCUCCAGAAAACCAAACUCAUACAGAUGCUCCGUCUACAGGAUUUAUAUUUGACAAAACCCAAAAUACCUUUGAAAUUUCUGAACCACGGCUUAUCUCUUGACCCAUUUGGUUGGAUGCAAGAGUUCUGCAUGCUUCUACACGGACACUGAAAAUGACCCGACCCCAUAAAAAUAAUACCACAAACCAUUCUUCUUCCACCAAUAUAGCAUCACUCCUAAAAGAAAACGAGCAUCAACAAAUUACACAUUUGAUAAGAUUAAUAAUAAUUUUCAAAAAAUAGAAGGAUAAAACUUUUAAGCGGACGACACAAAUUGUAAUCGAACAAUGGAGGACAUAGUGAAUGCAGUUGCUUUUAAUGUUCAUACCGUUAUUCUAUUAUGUUUUGAGCAUUCUGUCUCCAAUAGAAAGCAAAAAUCACAACAGAGUCCUAUUAUAGUUAUUUUUAGUGUUCAAUU